rnacentral:rRNA from 1 species
CUACGGGAUGCUGCAGUGGGGAAUAUUGCACAAUGGAGGAAACUCUGAUGCAGCAACGCCGCGUGGAGGAUGACACUUUUCGGAGCGUAAACUCCUUUUAUAUAGGAAGAAGAUGACGGUACUAUAUGAAUAAGCGCCGGCUAACUCCGUGCCAGCAGCCGCGGUAAUACGGAGGGCGCAAGCGUUACUCGGAAUCACUGGGCGUAAAGAGCGUGUAGGCGGAUUAAAAAGUCAGAAGUGAAAUCCUAUAGCUUAACUAUAGAACUGCUUCUGAAACUCUUAAUCUAGAAUGUGGGAGAGGUAGAUGGAAUUUCUGGUGUAGGGGUAAAAUCCGUAGAGAUCAGAAGGAAUACCGAUUGCGAAGGCGAUCUACUGGAACAUUAUUGACGCUGAGACGCGAAAGCGUGGGGAGCAAACAGGAUUAGAUACCCGUGUAGUC